GACGAAGGGGGCUAGCGUUGUUCGGAAUUACUGGGCGUAAAGCGCGUGUAGGCGGUUAUCCAAGUCGGGUGUGAAAGCCUUGAGCUCAACUCAAGAAAUGCAUUCGGUACUGGGUGACUAGAGGACCGGAGAGGAUAGUGGAAUUCCCAGUGUAGUGGUGAAAUACGUAGAGAUUGGGAAGAACACCAGUGGCGAAGGCGGCUAUCUGGACGGUUUCUGACGCUGAGACGCGAAAGCGUGGGGAGCAAACAGG
rnacentral:rRNA from 1 species